AGCUUCCUUUGGCCUUCACUAAUUGGUAGGGAGCCAGCCAAACUGGUGGUAGCAAACUGGCGGGAGCAGGGAGCCAGCUAACCAGCUAGAACGAAGUGCCGAGCGCCGUGCGCCGUGCGUGACUACACACAGGGGGGAGGAAGAGCGACGCGCCAGUGCCUGCUGUGGCGAGCGAAGGGAGUGUCGUCUAGGCGUCCAUCGUGCGCCGCCGCCUUGUGGGCCUGUGAGGAGGCCGAGCCGCUACCCCGUCGAGGAGAAGGAACGCCGUGAGCAAAGGCCAAGCAGCCGAGGGGAGAAGUCGCCAUGGCCCGUGUGCGUGCGCGGAGGCCGAGCACCGAGGGGAGCGGCGGCGGAGGACCUGAGUCCGGACACGAGCUACGCUUACACUGGGUCUGUACGCCGAUUCGAGAUCUGAAAAUGAAGAGAAAGAAGACUGCUACUACUGAUUCGAUAGCUUUUUUUUAGCAACAGCUGCUGCAAAAAAGAAACAAUCUGCAAGUGAGACAUUGACAGUAGCUACUUAAUUAUGUCAAAUAAUACUUUGACAUUUUGAGUGUUGAACAAUACCAUUUUAUGAUAUAUUCUUUGUUGCGUGAAUUAUUAUGAUUUAUUU